rnacentral:lncRNA from 1 species
UUUGAUUGUGAUUAUAGAACUUUUUGAUGUGUGUUUUCUUUGUGCUAGGGAUUCCAACUUGAGCCUAAUUGAGGAACCAUUACCAUGAGUUCCUAAGAGAGAGGUCCAAGAUGUCUUGAGGAAUCUUGUCCAAGAAUUAUUGAUUGUUGAUUGCUUGAGUUUAUACUUGUGAUUGCUUAUUCCAAAGGAGGGGAGCUACUUGGAUCAUCAAUAUGAUUUCAAGAGAGGGACUCCUUUU